UUUUAAAAAAUAUUUUUUAAUACAGGGGAUCAGUUUAUAUUACAUUAAAAAUAAUACUUUAAAGAAAUCAAUACAUUAUUUUUUCUUUUUUUUUUCGACGUCGUUGUCUCAAAUAUAUUAAUAUACAGAACACUCGUAUUCCAUUUUAAAUCAAUUACACACCUACAAUAAAGUAUUACAACUAAUUACUCAAUUUUUAUAGAAACUCACAACCACGAACACAUCAAUGUAGUAACUUACGAAUUACAUAAACCCGUAUUUUUAUAUAUGGUUUACACCCCUACCAACCACAUAACUAUCAUGUCCUGCUAGUAGUAAACCCUGCUCCAUCUCCUCUAUAUGCUAGGUUCGGAAACCUGCAACUCCACCCAGUCUCCAGUCCUACUUCAUCU
rnacentral:lncRNA from 1 species